GCGGGUGUAGCUCAGCUGGUAGAGCAUUAGCUUCCCAAGCUAAGGGUCGCGAGUUCGAAUCUCGUCGUCCGCUCCA
rnacentral:tRNA from 1 species